GCACCUCGCACUACUGGAGCCAUCCAACCAACACCUGCUACUCGAAAGACUACUGUUGCUGAUGGCACUUAUGAUGGGUACAUAAGAGGAGUUUCAGAUCUUCCACCUGCUAUCCCAAAUAUUCAAGACCGCCCAAUCAUUCAACCUGCUGGAAAGACGCAUUGGAAAGACAUUCCUGUUGUUCGAAAUGGCAGGUGACCAUCAAGUGUAUUGACAUGCCUUCUGAAACGUAAUCAUCCAGGUGUGGUGGAUUAUGAUGGUGCGAAGGUGCUUGCAACAGAGUGGGAGGAUUAUCAUGCAGUAAAGGACACAAAUGGCCAUUCGGUUGCAGACAAAAUUGAAGAUGCCUUUUGGCUAAGGUACAAGUAUGAAGAUGCAUACUCAGAGAAGGCCAAGCAACAUGUUAGAAGAUGUUGUAAGACACUUCUGCCAAGUAUCUUUUAUUAUGCUAGAAUCCAAGCAAUAAUUGAGCAUUUUCGAAAAAUUGAGAACACUAACGAUGAAUGAUAAGCUUGCUGGGCAAUACUAUUUGGAUAGAGACGAGUAUUUGGUACAAAGGCAAGGUUGGUUACAAGAAGAAGCUUGGGUUAUUUUAGUUAAUGAGUGGUGUAGUGAAGAGUGGAUUGCCAAAUCUAACAAAAAUCGUGACAAUCGUGUUAGCUCAA